AAUCGCUCAAAGCACUUUCUUCCAGCCGUUGCGAAAAUAUGUCCUUAUUUAAUAUUUUUAGAUUUCUAUCAACCAAAAUGACAAACGAAGAAGAACCGCAACAAAAACUAAUCAUUACUGAUUCUUCGAAAAUUUACGACGUUAUGUCAUCUUAUUACUUGAAGGAAACUUUUUCCGACAUUCAACUAAUCUUAUCCGAUAAAACACUCCAUGCGCACAAGAUUGUUCUCGCUGCUCGUUGCAAAUAUUUUGAGUCUCUUUUACUGCAAGACCCAAAACAAACCCAGAUUGAAUUAAUCAAUGUGCCUUCAAAGGCUCUUGAAACAAUACUGUAUUACAUUUAUACAGGGACCGUUGUCAUCGCAUCAUCAGAUGAAAAUUAUGUGUCCGAUAUAUUGAAGCUAGCACAAGAAUAUUCGUUAAAAACACUGGUACAAUUUAUAAACCAAAAAAUGGGUUCCAUUGUGGAUUUAUCAAAUGUUUCUUUCUUUCUAAACAUAGCCAAUGCACAUGACAUGGACGAGUUAAAAGAAAAAUGUCAUACUUUUAUCGAUGAACAUGUUUCACAAACGUUUGAAUACGAUUUUUUAAACGUUCUCACACAAAAAUCUAUGGUCAACUUGUUGAAAAGAGGUGCGUUUCCUGUUCAAGAAAUCGAUGUUUUUAAGAUAGCGGCCAAUUGGUGCAAGAUUAACGAAGACUUGGACAACUUGGUUAUUGAAUGUGUUCGGUUUCCUUGCUUAACGCUAAAUGAAAUUAUAAAUGUUGUUUGGCCAUCAAAAGUUAUAGAUAACGAAAAAGUGCUGGAUAUUAUUGCAACGAUUGAAAGGAACGGUACCAAAGAAACGCAACGACACAUUGUUGAACAGUUUGAAAGUAAAAAUCUUGCUACAGCAGAAUAUAAUGUUAAAGUAAUUUCUGGAUUAAAUACCACAAUGCUGUUUGAGGACACUGGAAAUGAGGAAGAUGAUGCUUAUCAUAUGGAGAACGAUAAAAACGGUAUUACUGUAGAUCUUGCUGGGGUAAAAUGCUUCAAUCACAUAACGAUGAAUAUAAGAAAAUGGGUCAGUUACAGCAUUGAAAUUUCCACAGAUCUACAAAAGUGGCAUAACGUCAUAGAUUACAGUAGAUACAAAUGCAAAUAUAAUCAAAAUUUAUAUUUUGAACAACAGAAAGCUAGAUACAUCCGAAUAGUUUUAAAGGAAUCUUCAGCUAGAAUUUGUAAAUUUCAAGUUUACAUGAGCAGGAAUGUCCCUAAAAUACAUAACCAAAUUGUUUGCCCUUCUUCAAACGUGAUAACUUCCCACACGUAUAUAAGUGUCUGCGUAAGCUAAGGAAGUAUUGUAACCGAUUUCAGCGAGCGACUUGCUCCUGUCAUGUUUUCUCGACAUUUCAUAAUCCCUCGAACACGAAAAAAAAAAUAUUUACCGUUUCCGUCUACCUGUCGUCUGUCUGGCGUCUAUCGCCAGUUUCGAUUUUUAUAAGACAAAUAAUUUUUGAAACCACUAGAUCGAUUGUUUUCAAAUGUUCGUUGUAUGAUAGAAACAUCAUGUAGGGGGUAAAACGCCAAUUGGCUAAUCUUCCCCACCUAAAUUUUAUGAAAUGCCUUAAUAUACUUUUGUACUUGUGGUUUACGAAUCUACCUUGGUUUUAUACAGAUAAGUAUACAAAAUUUCCGUCGGCAGAGUAGUAAUGGGCUAGCCUUGCGGAUGAGAGAUCCAGGAUUCAGUUCUCAGUGUAGCUUUUUUUUUACAAAAAUCCCCAACAAUUCACCUUUUUGCACAGUGGGUCAAAUUAGGGAAAAUUUGACUAAAAGUUCAAAAUGGCAGCUCUUCAAAUUUUUUUAAAAUUCAUAUUUCUAUAAAGUAAAUACUUGGACUAAGUACGGGUGCACGUAAUAGUAUGAUUUAUCCUCUUGACAAAGUAUAAUAUUCCGUUUUUCUACUCCCACAUAGUAAUCCAUGAAUUACGAAUUGUCUAGCCUCAUAGUAAAACCAUAGUUACACCCACUGGCAUGUAAUGAAUGAACAGGCACGUAAUAUAUAUAUGUAUAUAUAUAUAUUACGUGCCUGUUUGAAUAGUUUCCAUAGCAACUAUAAAUAUUUGCUUUCCCAAAAAAAUUUCUUCUGAAAGUGAUUCUUCAUUCUAGAUCGUAGAAAAAGUAUAUGACACAACUCUGGUGGUAAGCUAAUUACGAACUCAUAUUACAUCACUCGCUCGCUACGCUCGCUCGUGUAUAAACUUCGUUCGUAAUUAGCUUCUUACCACCCUCGAUAUGUAAUAUACUAUUCCUUGAGUUGUGGCAAAUUAGACAUUUGGAGAUAAUCGUAGCCGUAUUGAAAGAAUUUUUUAAUAGUGACUACUUCAGGAAAUCUUUACACAGCUGUUUAAUUUUUGAAUGGACCGGCACUUUUUUUGUGCACAAUAAAAAUAUUCUCUUUUUUA